rnacentral:rRNA from 1 species
GACGAACGCUGGCGGCGUGCUUAACACAUGCAAGUCGAACGGAAAGGCCCUGCUUUUGUGGGGUGCUCGAGUGGCGAACGGGUGAGUAACACGUGAGUAACCUGCCCUUGACUUUGGGAUAACUUCAGGAAACUGGGGCUAAUACCGGAUAGGAGCUCCUGCUGCAUGGUGGGGGUUGGAAAGUUUCGGCGGUUGGGGAUGGACUCGCGGCUUAUCAGCUUGUUGGUGGAGUAGUGGCUUACCAAGGCUUUGACGGGUAGCCGGCCUGAGAGGGUGACCGGCCACAUUGGGACUGAGAUACGGCCCAGACUCCUACGGGAGGCAGCAGUGGGGAAUAUUGCACAAUGGGCGGAAGCCUGAUGCAGCAACGCCGCGUGCGGGAUGACGGCCUUCGGGUUGUAAACCGCUUUCGCCUGUGACGAAGCGUGAGUGACGGUAAUGGGUAAAGAAGCACCGGCUAACUACGCG